rnacentral:misc_RNA from 1 species
UAUGGUCUCCCGAAAUCUAUCCUCUUAUCCUCUGCCUAGCAGACCAAUAGAAAAGGGAAACCAUAUGUGAAGACAAUUAACAUACACACUGUGACCGAAAUAGUUGGGCAUGGCAUCGAUGCCGCGAACUUCUUCCACCGCAAUUUUGGGGUCUAGGCCCUUCUCUUCUUCCAUAGCCAAGCCUUCCAUUGCCUCUCUCUUCCUAACCACUGGUGCAUUUCUCAACUAAAAUAAUCUAAAACCCACAUCAGUUUUCCUCUUCAAAAUCCAAAUUUUCGCUUAUAUUACGAGAUUUGAUUGCAUUUAAGAUAGACCCAGUUGUUGUUUCACUGUUUUUUUGCGCUUAGAUUCCGCAUUCUUUUGAUUCUUCCAUUUUGUUAAUUGAGGUAGCAGGUGGGUUUUGGAGUUUCUCAGUGGAGUGUUAGUGAUGAUGCUCUCUUUCGCUUAAUUUGCAGGGCAGGUUUGUGGGAAGAAGUAUUAUGUAGGAAUCGGGAUUCAGGGCAAGAAAGGGAGGUUUCAGUUCCAUGUUGCGGUUAACAAUGUCGCAACUGACGUUAGCUUCGUUGAGGAGAGAGACAGAGCUUUAGAGAAUGUGUUAAUGGCUUCAACACAAGCACAACUGAUCAGGUCAUCAUCCUCCACAUUAUCACUUUCUUCCAAGAUCUUUGAACAAGCCUUAGUAUUUACAUCUUCACUUGCUACAAUCAAACAGGCCUCCAAAUUCCCAAUUUCCAAACGCAUUUUCUACCCAAAUCAAUAUCAUUUUUCACGCUCCUGGCCCCUGUAUGCUACCUUAAAUAGCCCAAAAGGCUUUGGCCCUCCUCCAAAGAAAACCAAAAAGACCAAGAAAUCAAGGACUGUCUAUGAUGAUGAUGAUGAUGAUGAUGAUGGUGAUGAUGAUGAUGAACCAGAUGCGGGCAUCAUACCUGAGGUAGUGACCAACAGGAUGAUUAGCAGGAUGGGAUUUUCUGUGGGAAUUCCUUUGUUUAUUGGGUUGUUGUUCUUUCCAUUCUUUUACUACUUGAAGGUUGGUCUGAAAAUUGAUGUACCCACAUGGGUGCCUUUCAUAGUGUCCUUCUUUUUCUUUGGUUCUGCCUUGUUGGGUGUGAGUUAUGGUAUUGUGUCUUCCAGUUGGGAUCCAAUGAGGGAAGGCUCACUCUUGGGUUGGAAUGAGGCUCAAAAGAACUGGCCUGUCUUUUGGCAGUCUCUUUGGGGUAGAUCUGGCAAGAAAUAGAGCUUAGUUUUCUCUUUUGUAUCUUUGCCUAAUUUGUGUUAUCUUCUUUUUCUUCUUCUCUUUCUUCUUUUUCUUCGUCCUGGUUAUGUCGAUGUAUUCUAACACUAAACAGAAUUUUGACCACCUUGGGUUUGUAGAUUCUUAUAUUAACUCUUCUUUCUCAAAAACCACAUUUCACACCGAGAUACUACUUUAUUGGAUUAAUUUCUAUGCCCUUACAAAUUCUGUGCUCAAAAUUUGUAAAUAAUGGACUAUGGUGCAUGUUGCAGUCCAUGCUACACAACGAGUAUGAUAGAUUUUGAUGCUACUUUCAUUUUAAUUUUCAUGGUGGAAAGUAAUGGGUGUGUAUGAACUAUUAGGGCUUUGUGAACUAUAAGGAUUUUUUUUUUAAUUUUUGGAAUAUAUUCAUACUUAAGUAAAUUUCUUUUGAUUGUUAAAUUAUUUUGUUUCAUGCUGCUAUGUGUUUUUUGUGCUUAGAGAUCAGGUUGUUGUUUAUUUAUUUUUUUAUUUUUAAGAUAAGUUUAUAUAUUGGGUCAAAAAAGGCCUGAGGCCCAG